rnacentral:rRNA from 1 species
GAAGGGACCUACCGUAGUUCGGAAUUACUGGGCUUAAAGAGUUUGUAGGUGGUUAUUAAAGUUGGUGGUGAAAUCCCAGAGCUUAGCUCUGGAACUGCCAUCAAAACUUUUUAGCUAGAGUAUGAUAGAGGAAAGCAGAAUUUCUAGUGUAGAGGUGAAAUUCGUAGAUAUUAGAAAGAAUACCGAUUGCGAAGGCAGCUUUCUGGAUCAUCACUGACGCUGAGGAACGAAAGCAUGGGUAGCGAAGAGGAUUAGAUACCCUCGUAGUCCAUGCCGUAAACGAUGUGUGUUAGACGUUGGAAAUUUAUUUUCAGUGUCGCAGCGAAAGCAUUAAACACACCGCCUGGGGAGUACGACCGCAAGGGUAAAACUCAAAUGAAUUGACGGGGACCCGCACAAGUAGUGGAGCAUGCGGUUUAAUUCGAAGAUACGCGCAGAACCUUACCAAC